UCCCUUGUGGCUCAGAUGGUAAAGCGUCAGCCUGCAAUGCGGGAGACCCAGGUUCAAUCCCUGGGUUGGGAA
rfam:TPA: Bos taurus chromosome 6, whole genome shotgun sequence.